UCAGUGUGUUUCACGGUGUGAAACAGACAAGAUUGCGAGAAAAACGGAGAAAACGGAUUUUACGGACUGACCCCUCGGAAAACGACUCAUCCCCCGAGGCGAACCCUCCCGGGACUUCUGACCAUGGACAUUCUUUACGAUAGUGACCACAAACUUGGCGAAAUGGAAGACUCAUCUAUGGGAGAGAUUCUAGAUCAUGAAAACUUUCAAUCCCCAACUUCAUUGAGCUCGGAUGGCUACAUGGACAAUGAUUGGCUGGACAGUUUAUUCGAGGAUCCAGUUCUGAACGACAAAAUGAUAACAGGAUGCUGUACAACCUCCGCGGAUCCACUCCGAACACAGCUACUCCAUUAACGACAAUAGUGUGCCCUCAUCUCCUCUCGGACUCGGAAAGCUGGAAGAUUUGGACAGUGAAUUUUUUGGAAGCAACCAAGCCCUAGACCUUACAAACAAAACCACCCUGAACCCAGGACAAGAACAAGUUGUCAAAACCGAAAUGGAACCAGAAAUGGAGGCCAUGGACCCCAUGCUUACCACUGUCACUACCAUGACAACCAGGACAGUGACAGUUACUAAGCAACCAACCAUCAUCCUGGCCGCCGCCGGUAACCAUCAGCUUCACCCCCAGCAUUCUGUGUCACCCCCCAUUGUCACGAUCAAAACUGAACCUGCUGAUCAAUUAUCAGAUGCAAUGGAGCAAACAGUCAAUGUUGACAGCCUGAUCAUGCCCCCCACCCCGCCCAGCAGUGCAUCCAGUGACAGUGAGGGGGGACAGAGCCCCCAGCCAUCAGCGCCCUCUAGUCCGAUCCGACAGCUGCCUCUCUCACGACAUUCUCAUUCCCCCACAAGCAAAUCAUAUUCACAGCCAUUGUUCACCAGUCCGAUUCCUCAAUCAGGAGUCCUUAUUUUAUCUGAGGAGGAGAAACGGACUCUCAUCUCGGAAGGUUAUCCCAUACCAAAUAAACUCCCGCUUACAAAGCAGGAGGAGAAAAAUCUGAAAAAGAUACGCAGAAAAAUUAAAAACAAGAUAUCUGCUCAGGAAAGCAGAAGGAAGAAGAAAGAAUAUCUAGAAGCUUUAGAAAAACGCGUGGAGGCGUUUUCUCAGGAGAACAAUGAUCUGAAGAAGAAAGUGGACUCGCUGGAGAACAACAACCGGUCACUUCUGGGUCAGCUACAGAAGCUCCAGGCCCUGGUGGGGAAAGUGUCCCGCCACGGUGGGGCCACGACACAAACGGGAACAGUGCUAAUGGUGUUGGUGUUAUGCUUUGCUGUGUUUCUGGGAAGUUGGACUCCAUCUUCUUUUAACAUCGGAUAUUCUUCUGGCUCCGUCGCUAUGGACGGAAUGUCCCUCUUUAACAACCCCCGCCUUCUUCAGCCCGGGAUAAAGAUGGGUCCCUCUAUACAGGAUGCUAAGGUGGAUCAGUACUCCACUCCAGCCAUGAAAUCGCGAGUUCUGUUGUCCCUGCGAGAGGAAGAGGAUUUGACGUGGUACCACCCCUACGGUCCUCUAACUCCGCGAAGCCAGCCAGAAUUCUCGGAUCAUGAGAAAGAAAGUCAAGAAACGAACCAAAAAGACACAAAUCCAACGGAGCCGGUCGUAGUUGGUCGGCUAGAGGUGGUGACAGUGGAUCAGCGAUUCCAUCAGGCCAACUGUACAACUCGCAAACACGGAGAGAACCUCCAUCCAGAAAUCAUUAGUCCUAUGGGACUCGCCAAUCCGUGCAUAGAAAAAUCUGUGGAGACCGAAACUGCCUGAAACUACCAGGGCAUAUCACUGCACCUGAAACACCAUGGACCUUUUUUUAUUAAGUGCUGCUAUGUUCAUAGUAGGUGACUACUUUUGGGGAUUGUUUAUUAUCCAUUUAGGUUGUUCUCUACUUUUCAUUUAAAUUUUUUUUAGAGACUUGUCUGUCUCUUUCACUUUUUUCAUAUUUUUUAAUUUCACUUUCUUUUUUUAUGUUCUUAAUUUUUUUUUUCGUAGAAGGACCAGGUACUCAUCAUAAUUCACUGUAAAUAAGUCACAUUUUUCCCUUCAUGUAUGCAAGAGUAAGUGUGAGAAGGGAGACAAAUCCUGCUUUAUUUUUGGGCAUGUUUCUUUGCUUUUGAGUUAUCUUACAACUGCAGGGACGCGCGAUAAGGUGCUUGUUAAUUGUUACAUAUUUAUUGAUAAACAUUGUUAACUACGCUUUAUUGAUUUUUCAUUAAUUUAUUGUAUUAAUUGGAAUCAAAGUUUUUUUUGUGAUUAUUGUGAUGUUUCUGAAAGAAGCAAACUGAUUGUUAAAUUUUUUUUAUUCAUUCAGUUACAAUUAGUUAUUAAUAGGGAGUGAAAAAGUUGUAAAAUGCAUAUGGAAUUUUUUUCUUUUGAUGGUUUAAUUACAAUCAUGUGCAUGCAGCAUAGAUAAUAGUUGUGCAAAAAAUAUUUGGAUCACCUCAACCAAUCACAGAUCACGUCUAUUUUUGUAAAUUCAAACAGUAUUAAAAGAGUUGUAUUUGAACAUAUCCAUUGCAUUUAUUUACAGUAUAGCGUAAUAAGCAUAGAGAAAUUUGCAUAUACAUGUAUUUGCAUGAAAUGUGUAUUUGUUUCAUUUUUUAUUCGGAUAUUUUACAAUAGUAUGAGACAUUAUUUUAAUGACCCUAGUCAUUAUUUGUAUAUAGGAUAUUUAUUUGUUUGGUUUUGACAAGAUCUCUAGUUUCAAAGUAAACCCUAAUGAAGUUUACACUUUGAGGCCUAGUUCUUGUCAAAACUGUUGGAAUUACCAGAAUUUCCUCUGUCAAUGUUCUGGUUGUGGGAUCAGCCAAAUACAUGUAGAAUUACUUAUUAUAGAGUAACUGACAUAGACUAGAUCUUCUCAGGGCCAGGGGUAGAUAGCCUCUGCCCGGGGGGAAGAGAUCUCUGGGCAUAAUCUUUGUAUAUAAGAUGCAACCAUGUCAUGCAAUAUAAAAUCAUAUAUAUCAAUAAAAAUAUAUAUAAAGAGCAUUC
rnacentral:sRNA from 1 species